rnacentral:rRNA from 1 species
GCGCUUGUGGAUGAGCUCGCGUCCCAUUAGCUAGUUGGCGGUGUAACGGACCACCAAGGCGACGAUGGGUAGCUGGUCUGAGAGGAUGAUCAGCCACACUGGCACUGAAACACGGGCCAG